rnacentral:rRNA from 1 species
GACAGAGGGUGCAAACGUUGCUCGGAAUUACUGGGCGUAAAGCGCGUGUAGGUGGAUUGGUGUGUCAGAUGUGAAAGCCCUGGGCUCAACCCAGGAACUGCACCUGAAACUACCAGUCUUGAGUGGUGGAGAGGGAAGUGGAAUUCCUGGUGUAGAGGUGAAAUUCGUAGAUAUCAGGAGGAACACCAGUGGCGAAGGCGGCUCACUGGACCGGUUCUGACGCUGAGGCGCGAAAGCGUGGGGAGCAAACAGG